UCCUAAUCAUGCAAGUCGAACGAUACCGCAAGGUAUAGUGGCGGACGGGUGAGUAAUCGCGUGGGCAACCUGCCUGAAGAUUGGGAUAACACCCCUGAAAGGGGUGCUAAUCCAAAUGUAGUUGCGGUACCGCAUGGUACUGCAAAAAAAGGAGCAAUCCACUUCAGGAUGGGCCCGCGUCUGAUUAGCUAGUUGGUGGGGUAACGGCCUACCAAGGCGACGAUCAGUAGCCGACCUGAGAGGGUGAUCGGCCACACUGGGACUGAGACACGGCCCAGACUCCUACGGGAGGCAGCAGUCGGGAAUAUUGGGCAAUGGACGAAAGUCUGACCGAGCAAUGCCGCGUGAGUGACGAAGGUCUUCGGAUCGUAAAGCUCUGUCUUCAGGGACGAAAAAAGUGACGGUACCUGAGGAGGAAGCCCCGGCUAACUACGUGCCAGCAGCCGCGGUAAUACGUAGGGGGCGAGCGUUGUCCGGAAUUACUGGGCGUAAAGGGCGAGUAGGCGGCUAUACAAGUCAGAUGUGAAAUACUGAGGCUUAACCUCAGGGCCGCAUUUGAAACUGUAUAGCUUGAGUGCAGGAGAGGAAAGUGGAAUUCCCAGUGUAGCGGUGAAAUGCGUAGAUAUUGGGAGGAACACCAGUGGCGAAGGCGACUUUCUGGACUGCAACUGACGCUGAGGCGCGAAAGCGU
rnacentral:rRNA from 1 species